GGGAGCUGGGCCGGGAGCUGGGCGGGGAGCUGGGCCGGGAGCUGGGCCGGGAGCUGGGCCGGGAGCUGGGCCGGGAGCUGGGCCGGGAGCGCUCUGCUGGUCACCGCAAGUUCUCAUGCAAACCGAAGUUGUCAGAACCAACCUUGAUGAAAAAGGAAUUCCGAGAAACACAAAUGAAACUUAAAAUCAAGUCACUGGAGGAGAAAAAAGCAACGUUAGCCUUCCCUUAGAUACCCAGCCCCGAAAAUCACCCGUAUUCCAGGGGCUGACACGGCACGGCACGGGCAGCGAGGGCAGAAAGGGUCGCUCCCGCUACAGUCACCUACGCCAAUGUACACUCGGCGGCGUGCCGGGCUCUUACACAGCCCGCGGGGCCGCUGCCGCGCCGGGCGCCGCGGGCUGCGCAGGGGCCCUUCUGUUCCGCUUCCUCUAGAAAGCGAAACACUGCCUUUCAAACCACUCUGCUUGGACAGCGGUGCUGUGUAAUUUUUGCUUCUGUGACUUUUACCUGGCCCGCACCUGCCCUGCGGGGGGAAGCGGCCAGUCCGAGCAGCACAGCCGCUGCUACCGGCACAACUUAGCUGAUUAACUCAAUAGAUCACUCUCGCUGUGCUGGAAUCAAUGACAGUGGUUAAAGGUCUGUCCAAUUGCUGUUUUUCCAGUAAUGAGUUUAUAACAAAGCUGCCACCAAAUAGUUUAGUGUCAUGUGUUUUCUCCUUUAUUGAUUUCAAUAAAAAGGCUAAUUUGGAGA